rnacentral:lncRNA from 1 species
GCUGGGCCCCGGGUCUCUCACUGGCAGAAUGGAGUUCUCGGAGCUGAUCCAUACGGGCUGAGCCCAAGCAGAGUUUCUACGGGGCCCGGAGGCGCCCCCGCUUCGCGGCACGGUGUGAGUCACCGUCCACCACCUGCUCCUGUCGCCAGGGCCCGCGUCCUCUCCGGACCUGUGGCUGCUGCUGUUGCGUAGCGUCGACUCCUUCGAGAAGCAGUUCUGCUACGCUCCAGCCAGCCCCUAACUGGUCCCCAGAAGCGGCGCUGCUACAGGGACCAGGAGCUGCUGCGAACUGCGCUGGCGGGGGCUCGUCCUUGGGCGCGGGGCUUCAUCAUGGACACGCUCUCGGCCCAGGCCGCGAAACAAGCCCGCGUGACUGGCGGAGGCACAGAGACCAAGGCCGCUUAACCUGGCUGGUUGCACUGGUCCCUGGAGAGCACUGAGCACAGGGGCUGCCACAGUGGCCGGCUCAGACAUGGCAGAGAUCAGCAGAGAAUGGGCAAUCAGGCUCCCCUGAGAUGAGCAGCAGCGCAGAGGAGGUGCCCCUCUCUUACUACACCAACUUCAGAUGCCGUGUGAAGGGAGGACUCAGAUGCACUCCCUGUGGUCUGGGCUCAACCAGCCAAAAGAGCAACAAAGACUCCAGAACCCACUCUACCUCCUCAAUCCCUUGGCCAUCUGUGGAGCCCCAGAGCCUGCGGCUGUGGCAAGGCCUGUUUCUGCGCUGGACCUGCUCACCUGAGCCUGCAGAAGCUGCAUGGGGGAAGAGUGUGGCAAAUAGUGACAGGAAGGGAGAAGACAGAAGCCUCUCAGCCAACUGCUUCAGCCGAGCCCCUAUUCUAAGCACUGGCUCCUUGGAUAGCAGCUGAGAUGUUCCUGAAACCUCUGCAGGCCCCUUAGGACCUUUACACCUUGGAUGAGGGUGCCUGCAACCCAGGUUAGCCAAAAGUACUGAGGGUCUUAAGUUUGAAGUGUCCAAAGUAUAGGGAGGUCUCAAUAAUAAAAGUCUCCAUGAUCAGCAUCA